UAAUACGGGGGGAGCAAGCGUUGUUCGGAUUUACUGGGCGUAAAGGGCGCGUAGGCGGCGCGACGAGUCACUUGUGAAAUCUCCGGGCUUAACCCGGAGCGGCCAAGUGAUACUGUCGUGCUGGAGUGCGGAAGGGGCUACUGGAAUUCUCGGUGUAGCGGUGAAAUGCGUAGAUAUCGAGAGGAACACCAGCGGCGAAGGCGGGUAGCUGGGCCGACACUGACGCUGAGGCGCGAAAGCCAGGGGAGCGAACGGGAUUAGAUACCCCGGUAGUCCUGGCCUUAAACGAUGGAUGCUUGGUGUCCGGGGUUAGAUAGUCCCCGGGUGCCGGCGCUAACGCAUUAAGCAUCCCGCCUGGGGAGUACGGUCGCAAGACUG
rnacentral:rRNA from 1 species